AGCAGCCGCGGUAACUCCAGCUCCAAUAGCGUAUAUUAAAGUUGUUGCAGUUAAAAAGCUCGUAGUUGAAUUUCGGGAUCAGUACGCUGGUCGUGCCUUGGUAUGUACUGGUGUUACUGGUUCCUACCUUCUGACGAACCGUCAUGUCAUUAAUUUGGUGCGGCGGGAAAUCAGGACUGUUACUUUGAAAAAAUUAGAGUGUUUAAAGCAGGCUCGCGCUUGAAUACAUUAGCAUGGAAUAAUGAAAUAGGACGUUCGAUCCUAUUUUGUUGGUUUCUAGGAUUGACGUAAUGAUUAAUAGGGAUAGUUGGGGGCAUUAGUAUUCAAUUGUCAGAGGUGAAAUUCUUGGAUUUAUUGAAGACUAACUACUGCGAAAGCAUUUGCCAAGGAUGUUUUCAUUAAUCAAGAACGAAAGUUAGGGGAUCGAAGACGAUCAGAUACCGUCGUAGUCUUAACCAUAAACUAUGCCGACUAGGGAUCGGAUGAUGUUAAUUUUUAAUGACUCAUUCGGCGCCUUAAC
rnacentral:rRNA from 1 species